AUGCAGAAGGAUAAAAUCCAGGGCAGAGCCCCCCAUCCCAGGAAGUCAAGGCAGAGAGCAGCAGUCCAGGCCAGCGGGCAAGGUAGUCCACUUGUGAUCUAUCCUGGCCGAGCAUGCCCAUGCCAGGUGUCUUCUGGGCAGCCUCUGGAGUCAAAUCAAGAUUUGAGGUACCCCGAGGAGGCCGUUAGCCAAAGCUUGGAAGUGGCAGCACCGAAGCACACGCAUCGAGAACAUCUCAACAUCCACGUCCGAUCGAGGAUGGAUUUUGUCCACUUGUCUUCCAAAAGCUAAGUGUCGGGAGAAGGGGAAAAGCCUUUACUAUCACAGGGGGCAGUUUCAUGUCAGCUUAGCGGAGAGGUCUGUAGUGGGACGGGCUCCCUGGAAGUAAAGGGAGAGGGUUUCUCCUUAGCCUCACCAGAGCGUUUGCCGGGCAGGGCAGUUCCGACCCAUCUCCACAGCGUCGCGAACUUUGCGUCGUCGGCCUUCCUCGACUUGGCAUCAUCACGGAUCUUCCCCCGAGGAGCUCGCCUUCGGGUCCAGAGCUAUAGCCACGAUCACCCAGCCAUCCGCUUCCUUCUCGAGGCUCGCCGAGCCUCUCGAGCAUCUUCUUAACUGCUUUGGCACUAACUUCUUUUAACGAGUUACAUUUCAUUAACACACGCUAUUGUCAUAGAGCUUCCUUUCCUUUGGCAUCAUCAGCCUCUGGCUCAUCUUGCGCUAGCAGUCUCAGGUCCCUAAGGGGAAAGUUGCCACUUGUCUCUGUGUUACGUCUUCUGUGUCUAUUUUAUGUCAUCCGUGUCUGUGUUAUGUAGCGUGUGUCCGUCAUCUUCCACGUCGUAGGCCUUUAUUACAUCUUGAUGCUUUAUCGGCACUAUUCUGUGCCAUAACGCCCCUAUUCUACUCACGUUUCUUUCCGGAUAUUCCUUAUUCCGGCAUCUUUACA
rnacentral:lncRNA from 1 species